rnacentral:rRNA from 1 species
AUGGACCAUUCCAUCCUGUAUUCCCGUGGCUAUGCAUCGGAGUCAGAUGACGAAGGUCCUGAUGAAGAAGUUGAUGAGGAGGGGUUCACGGUGAAGGAGGCCGAAGCUUUCGAGAAGGUAUUCGGGCGGAAUCAUCGGACACCAUUGUUCAAGGAUGUUAGUCUCGCGGAUGAAGCCGUGGUAGAUGGUGGCCAAGGUAUAUCUCUUGGAGUUAGGCCAAGUUCUCACCAGGAUUUGGAAGACGGCAAGAAUGGGAUUCCUCCCGGGUCUAAGUUUCAAACCUUCUUGGAAUUGAAGAUGUGGCUCGACAACUACUCGGGUACGCAUUAUCGUCCACACAAGGUGGUUCACUCGGACGUCAAUGUGCGUUCACAGUUGCAUGUCAAGAAAAAAAUGCCCAUGGAUUGUGCGUGCAAGACCAUGGAAAGAAGGGCCCACUUGGCACAUGGUGAGUUGUGUACCAAGUCACAUGUGUCGAGGCAAGAAGGUGGAUGGCAAGAUUGUGUCCCAAGAGCAUAG